rnacentral:lncRNA from 1 species
CUUCAAUGAGCUCCUGCUCAGCUACUUCCACCUGCUGCCCACCAGGGUCCUCAGCAACGGGCUCUUCUACUCGCCACAAUACAAACAAGCACAGUGUAUAUAGAGAAAUUAACAUUACACCAAACAUAUAAAUAAAAUACACAGUAAUAAUCUACAUAUUAAAAUAAAAUCCUAGGAACAGGAAUCAUAAUUUUUGGAGUUAUAGAAUUUAAGUUAUGGAUUUUCAAAGGUUUUAUGUGUUUAAAAUGGGAUUAAGUGAGGAAUUGAUUUUCUUACUGUUUUCAUGUCAAAACAGAGACUCUAGAUGGUAGAGAAUAAUAAUACAAAAUUUUUGGAACUGGAAUGGAGUAAUUUGGAUUUCAUACGCAUUUUCUAUGAAUUAUUGAAGUUCUAGCAAUUGUUUUUCUCAUAAAAAAUCAUUUUCAGAUUUUAUUUAUCCAUUUAUUAUGAACUCUGGCCUGGGCGCACUAAAUCUGAGAAAGGCAGGGGCCUCGGGUUAAAAUUCCUAAGGCACAGGGAACAAUUUCUGUGGACCGUGGGUUAUUUAAGUAUGAAUCCGGGGACUCUUUAGCAAUUUGCGCAACCGAAGGGGUAUCGCAAGACUCUAGCCGCCAGAUCACGAUUGAACGGCUCGGAUUAUAUCGUCAUUAUAAUGAAGCGGUAUGCGAUCGCGGCCCUUGGAUCUAAAUCCAACAGUACGGAUAUAAUGAAGCCGAGAUCCCGCCACAACCCUCGGAUUCCGAUCUAACGACCCAGGGAAGAUCUAGCGAAGGUGGGGUACGUGUGCGCAAAUCGGGGCGUCCAUCCACCGAUCGACGGUGCACCCAAGUCAACAUGCUCCAUCGUCAAAACAGAGCGGCACCCACAUCCGACUGCGGCGGAGGCCAUCUCCGGCCAGUCGCCCAAGGGGUCCCGGUGCCCCAAACCCAAAUUGGUCAAGCCCAAAUCGAAGUCAUGUCUGGUAGGAAUUAAAGGAUGCAGUGUCGUACCAAUGGCGAGGAAUCAGAUGGGCCAAAUUCGAUGAAGAGCGGCGCCAGGCGACUGCAAUCGACGGCGAGCAAUACCCCGGUCACCACUCGCAGAUUUCCACCCGGCACGGCCACAGGCACGUUGGAGGCGACCCGGAUAUGCUUCACGGAUAGGCACCAAGAGUGCCCCGUCAACGAAUUCCGCCACCAUGUGCGGCGGCACUAUGUUACACGCCGAAGUCGCACGGCGAAAUUGGAGUGCUACAGUGAACGGCACGGGUCGUGGGUGGUGGAGAGGGGAACGGAGGGGAAG